GACGAACGCUGGCGGCGUGCUUAACACAUGCAAGUCGAACGGAAAGGCCCCUUUGGGGGUACUCGAGUGGCGAACGGGUGAGUAACACGUGAGUAACCUGCCCUUGACUUCGGGAUAACUUCAGGAAACUGGGGCUAAUACCGGAUAGGAAUCCUUGCUGCAUGGUGGGGGUUGGAAAGCUUCGGCGGUUUUGGAUGGACUCGCGGCUUAUCAGCUUGUUGGUGGGGUAGUGGCUUACCAAGGCUUUGACGGGUAGCCGGCCUGAGAGGGCGACCGGCCACCUUGGGACUGAGAUACGGCCCAGACUCCUACGGGGGGCAGCAGUGGGGAAUAUUGCACAAUGGGCGGAAGCCUGAUGCAGCAACGCCGCGUGCGGGAUGACGGCCUUCGGGUUGGAAACCGCUUUCAGCAGGGGCGAAGCUUGUGGUGACGGUACCUGCAGAAGAAGCACCGGCUAACUACGUG
rnacentral:rRNA from 1 species